rnacentral:rRNA from 1 species
CCUACGGGGGGCAGCAGUGAGGAAUAUUGGUCAAUGGGCGGGAGCCUGAACCAGCCAAGUCGCGUGAGGGAAGACGGUCCUACGGAUUGUAAACCUCUUUUGCCGGGGAGCAACGGGGUCCUUGCGAGGGCCCAAUGAGAGUACCCGGAGACAAAGCAUCGGCUAACUCCGUGCCAGCAGCCGCGGUAAUACGGAGGAUGCGAGCGUUAUCCGGAUUUAUUGGGUUUAAAGGGUGCGUAGGCGGGCUGUUAAGUCAGCGGUCAAAUGUCGGGGCUCAACCCCGGCCUGCCGUUGAAACUGGCGGUCUCGAGUGGGCGAGAAGUAGGCGGAAUGCGUGGUGUAGCGGUGAAAUGCAUAGAUAUCACGCAGAACUCCGAUUGCGAAGGCAGCAUACCGGCGCCCGACUGACGCUGAGGCACGAAAGCGUGGGUAUCGAACAGGAUUAGAUACCCCAGUAGUC